rnacentral:rRNA from 1 species
UACGUAGGGUCCGAGCGUUGUCCGGAAUUAUUGGGCGUAAAGAGCUCGUAGGCGGUUUGUCGCGUCUGCUGUGAAAUCCCGAGGCUCAACCUCGGGCCUGCAGUGGGUACGGGCAGACUGGAGUGCGGUAGGGGAGAAUGGAAUUCCUGGUGUAGCGGUGGAAUGCGCAGAUAUCAGGAGGAACACCGAUGGCGAAGGCAGUUCUCUGGGCAUUACCUGACGCUGAGGAGCGAAAGCGUGGGGAGCAAACAGG